GAGAGUGGAGGUUUUGUAAUAAGAGGAAAAAAAGUUAUUAAAAAAAGUUUGGUGGAUUGUGAAAAAUCGGAAGUUGAGAAGUUUCUUUCACUGGUUUUCUGAGAAAGCUGAUGGGCUAGCUUGCUUGCCUCCUAAGCGUCACCGUACUUUCUAUAUCAAGCUAACAUUGAAGUUGUUAUAUCCGGUUUAUUCGGGUCGGGUUAUUCACCAUUG